rnacentral:rRNA from 1 species
AUUGAACGCUGGCGGCAUGCCUUACACAUGCAAGUCGAACGGUAACAGGUCUUCGGAUGCUGACGAGUGGCGAACGGGUGAGUAAUACAUCGGAACGUGCCCGAUCGUGGGGGAUAACGAGGCGAAAGCUUUGCUAAUACCGCAUACGAUCUACGGAUGAAAGCGGGGGAUCUUCGGACCUCGCGCGGACGGAGCGGCCGAUGGCAGGUUAGGUAGUUGGUGGGAUAAAAGCUCACCAAGCCAACGAUCUGUAGCUGGUCUGAGAGGAUGAUCAGCCACACUGGGACUGAGACACGGCCCAGACUCCUACGGGAGGCAGCAGUGGGGAAUUUUGGACAAUGGGCGAAAGCCUGAUCCAGCCAUGCCGCGUGCAGGAUGAAGGCCUUCGGGUUGUAAACUGCUUUUGUACGGAACGAAAAGACUCUGGUUAAUACCUGGGGUCCAUGACGGUACCGUAAGAAUAAGCACCGGCUAACUACGUGCCAGCAGCCGCCGUAAGAC